AGCUGGCGGGGCUGCGCAGCGAGAGCCUCUGGGUGCCACGGCAGAUCACUGCUCUGCAGCUCUGGGAGGAGAUCGUCAAGGUCCACCCCAGGCUUGCUGUUAUCCGGGAUCAAGUGGUUUUUGCUGUUCGACAGGAGUACGUGCUUCUUGGAGAUCAGCUCCUAGUCCUGCAGCCCGGAGACGAGGUUGCCAUCAUCCCACCGAUUAGUGGAGGCUGAAUCUGCCCAGGUUGUGUUAGGUCCAGAGAUGUGAUUGCAGUUCUCCUCCUCCACCCUGGUUCUUUUUUGAGAGAGCAUAAUUUGCGUUUCCUUCUGUUUGGUUACAGCUUUUCUAGUGAGCCAUGAAUGAAAGCGAAGAUGUGCCAAAAGAUUUUAUCAAGCUCAAGUCUGAAAAGCUCUCUGUAGAUGAAGUGUCAGAGCUGGUUAUUUCACCAUACUGUGGAGCAGUGUCUCUGUUCAUUGGUA